UCGCGGAGUUUGAUUUCCAAGGCCAAGCUUUUGUAGCAUUUUAUUCGGAAGCUUUGAGGUUGAGCAGUGAUGAAAUGGUGGCUGAGUGGAGUUGGUGGUCGUCUCAUCUCUUUUGUAGGGUUCUUGUGGCAUAUGUCUUCACACAUAUGGUCAUGUGUUUACAACUCCUUCCGCGGUGCACUAUUGUAGUAUUAUUUACUAGAUGGAUCGUAAGAAUAAUGAUUAGUAACAAGUGACUGUGUCAAACACUCUUUUAAAUUUCAUCAUCUUUCGUUGUCUUGUGAACCUCCUUUGUCUUAUUAAGAAGUAUGUGAUUGUCUUAUCGUUAUUUCUUU